GAUGAACGCUGGCGGCGUGCCUAAUACAUGCAAGUCGAGCGAACAGACGAUGAGCUUGCUCCUCUGACGUUAGCGGCGGACGUGUGUGUAACACGUGUAUACUCUACCUAUAAUACGGGGAUAACUUCGGGACUCCGGAGCUUAUAGCGUAUAAUAUAUUGAAGCGCAUGGUUCGAUGGUGAAAUUCGGUUUUUCUGUCACUUAUAGAUGGAUCCGCGCCGCAUUGGCUAGUUGGUAAGUUAACAGGUUACCAAGGCGACGAUGCGUAGGCGAACUGUGAGGGUGAUCGGCGGCACGGGAAGUGAGCCACGGUCCAGAGGCCUACGGGAGGCAGCAGUAGGGAAUCGUACGCAGUGGGCGAGAGCAUGACAGAGCAGCCCCGAGUGAGUGACGAAGGUCUUCGGAUCGUAAAACCCUGUAAUGAGGGAAGAACCAAUGUGGAAGGAACCAUGCCCGUAUUGACGGUAACUAAUAAAAAAGCAACGGCUAACUACGUG
rnacentral:rRNA from 1 species